UGUCUCUGAUGAUACAAAGUCAUUUUUGCUUUGCCUUUCCCUUCUAGGGAUGUGGAUGGAGAAGGCAGCUCCUCAAGGCUGGCCUGGCAUGAAGACGCUUAUAUCUUCAUCAGAUAUCUUCAUCAGAUGCAAUUUUUUGUUUAGAUUUUGAAGCCUUCUACUGACUGGUAAACAGGUUUCAGUGUCUUCACUUUGGCGUGACUCUGCCAUCCCUGUGCUCUCAGCCUGGCUGCUAACUAGGCAAAGCUGAAGUACUAAAAGCACCUGCAUGGUUGGUGCCUGCGUGCCUUUUCUUUCCUUAGUCUCUUCUUGAUUUUCCUUAAAAUCAAGAUUCAGAUUUCUUCAAAACAGAGUAAAGUUAUGUAGCAGGAUAAAACACUUUCCAAGAAAGUUUUGUAUACUCCUCCAGCCCCAUGGCUUGCACCUCGUCACAAUGAUGCAGCACCAGCUUCCUGCUGUUUGUACCUCUGUACCUGGGCUGCCACCAAGGUUCAUCUGCUCACAAGGUCAGAGCCAAGUGAGGCUUGUACGGACAGCCUGCAGAGCGCUUCUUCAUGAGACUGCCUUCCACCAAUGGUAUGUCCUAACACCUGCUGAGGUAAGAGGCUCUGCUCCCAGAGCAUCCCUGUUGGAAGGGAGCUCUCUUGUACAGCAGUUUCACCUUGGAAGAAAUACAGAGCAAGCCUAGAAAGAAACCCAGAAGUAAAAUGUGAGGUUGCUGGAGGCAGGAGUGAAAAUUGCAUCCAUUUUUGGGAUAAAGGAAUGGCAACAGCACCUUGUCGAGCAACAGAUGUCUAAUGAGAGUUGAACGAGUCCUUUUCUCCCACUUGCUUUUUAUCUUUUUGCUGCUCAGAUGUGUACUGAUACCCUUGUUUCUCUUUCCAUCCUUGAGAAAAAAAAAGCAAAGCCAAACAGAGUAAUGAGCACCUGUAGGGAAGCCGUCCCUUAGCAGUGUCUCUUAGGCUCAGACUUGCUCAUCUGGACUUUUCAGACAGCCACGUGCAUCCUCUGUGGCUGCUGCAGCCUUGUUUCUGGGCUUGCAAUAGUGAAAAUGCGCUGCAGACAAGGAGAUGCACCGCAAGAAGUCAGCCUCUGUAUGUUGAUUUAUUUGUCUGCUUCGCAGUGCAAAUUGUACACUUCCUCUCUGCUACUUCCAAGGAAGACAAAUGCAUCUUUUUUGUUGGUUUUGUAAGUUGGAGACUUUAGGAAAUGUGUUUUUGUUUUGCUUGGAGGUAACUAAAAAUUGCUACAUUAGUUUUAAGUCCAUUGCUGAAUAACAAGUGCCUGGAGGUUUGUUGUUUUUCUAGCAGACUGGUGCCUGAUGCAGUUUUUAAAAUGACCAAGACAUAAAACC
rnacentral:lncRNA from 1 species